ACCACCGCCCUGUAUGCAACGAUGCAACGAUGCAACUAUGCAACUAUGCAACUAUCCUCGCACGAAUGCUCUCUCCCGGGCCGUUAUCCUGUCCCCUCGCCUCGUGUCGGGCACCGUCUGCUGCAGCACCAACAUCCCAACUUUUAAGAACAGCCAGCACGGUACUCGAGGUGCAGACAUGCUCGAAGUUACCUGGCAAGGUUCUCAAGCAUCGGCAACUUAAUCCCUUUUGAGCCAUGAGGGACCCUCAGAGCAAUGCUAUCUAUCGCUUUGCCUGGAAGUGGGUCAUUGUCAGAGUAACGUCAUUCAUUCCCUAUCUACGCGUAGGUCGCACGGAGACUUGAUGCCCGUGAAGUGCACAUCCGACAAGGGGGAGAAGAAGGCGACAAGGAGGAGUUCGUGGUAGCAUUUUCGCACGUUCGGAAGUCGUCGCUUUGGCUGCGUAUUUAUUUACUCCCUCGGCCGUGGCUUAUUUAUUUCCACUCCCCUUCUCGUAUCUAGCUUCCGACUGAAGAGGAUUUUAUUGCAUUUGAGACUUUUGACUGAACGUCAAAACUUCUCUUGCCCCUCUCAAUAACCGCCUCCCCUACGAACAUAUAUCCAUCUGAGGCGAAAUAUGGGACGAAAUGAACCGAAAAUCGAAACGAUAAAAUCUCUGGCAAGUUUUAUUAAAACAAUGUAAAACUCAUUAGCCUGAGUACAGAAGUACAUGCUCGAUACAGAGUCCGCUACUUUGGUGGGUAUUAUGGGCGUCCGCUUCAAGUCUAGGGGUAUAUCCUCCUGUCCUUUGUUCCUCGAAUCUGUAACAAAAGAACAUAGCAAAUGCACCCAGGGAAAAACAAAAUGAGAGAAAAUGCAAAUACGUAAAGCAUGCCUGCCAAUCGAAAGGGGGAAAAAAAAGAUAAAGAAAAUUAUGUACAGAAUCGAAAUUCAAGACCUCAAGGCCUUGCUCGCUCAUCAAACCACAGCACCAUUUAGGUAAUUUAGGUAUCGCCGUCGUCUUCGCUCUUCUCGAAAAAAACUUUUACAGCUUGACUCGCCCCCCUUUCACAGUUUCCCACUCUUUCUUCCCAAACGGGACAUACUCGCCCCCUCUAAACCAGUAUAGCAGAUCAUCCACCCCCUUCUUGCUCAACAAAUCCACAUCCACCCCUUCCUUUCUCAGCACAUGUUUCUGUUGCUUAUUAUUGCCUGUCGACUGUGUGCCUCUCGUUACCCUGAGAAAUAGUGGGACGGCAUACUUGGGCAGAUUCUCCGACGCAAGUCGAGCCAAGGAGCGCAGCACGGUUGAUGAUGGCUCCAGAAUCGGUACUUUCGAUGCGUCCUCAUGUUCACUGUUGGGCGGAGGGGUGAUCUUUGCCUGCUCACGGAACACUAUGGCAGCACAUCCAGCACGGCCGUCGUGGUUCGGCAAUUCGACGCCGUAGAGGUUCGCUUCGAGCACUUCGGGGUGCUUGCCGAGGACUUCGGAGACUUCGUUGGUGGACACGUUCUCGCUGCGCCAGCGGAAUGUGUCGCCGAUGCGGUCGGAGAAAUACCAGCGGCCCUCAAGGUCCCAGCGCAUAACGUCGCCGGUACGGAACCACACAUCCCCCUUCCUCAGCACGUUGCGCAUUAUCUUGCCCUCUGUCGCACUGCGGUUGUUGAAAUAGCCCUGGAAGGUCGACUUGAUGUUCGGGGCGUAGAGUUGGAAGAGGAGCUCGCCCGGCUCUCCCCUGGGGACCUUCUUGCAGAAACCCGUCUUGGGAUCGCGCCGCGGCUGUUCAGUCUCAUAGUCUAACUCGACGACCGCGACAGUGUGGCCGGCUAUUAUCUCGGCAACCGGGCCGUUCUUUCCGAUGGCUCCAGCUGUGAAGUCGUUGCCGGACCUGUUCCAGAGGCCAGCGGUGCCCUCUGUCGAGGCAUAGAAUUCGCAGAUCAUCGGCACGUUGAACCUCUCUUUAAUGCGAUUCCAAACGUCAGGUCGCAGGCCGUUGCCGUAGAGCAUGCGUACGUUGUGCUUGAGGUCAAGAUUCUCGCCACUGACAGGGUCGAUUUCGCGUGGUGUUGCGAGCAGAUAUCGAAGGGUUUCACCCACAUACUGAACGACGGUUGCCUCGUUGUUGCGGACUUCUUUCCAGAAUUUCCUGGCGGAGAACUUGCGGCCGAUGAUGAUGGUUGUUGUCGAAACCAUGCAUGCUAAAUAACCUAGAAUGGCGGCUGUGGAGUGGUAAAGUGGCAUGCACUAUGAAAUAUCAGUUUGGACAUUCUUGCCUGGAGAGGAACGGAAAAAAAAAAAAAAAAAAAAAAAAAAGGGGAAGAAAACAAAAGAAAAACGCAUGUAUCUAUCUACUAUGUAGAUGUACGCGCAGAAUACACUGCAUCGCAGAAACACCACAAUGGGGAUUAUAGCGACAUUCGACAUACCGUAUAAACGCGAUCCGUCGUUUUCAAACCAAGCCAUUUGCUAACGAAUCCAGCGGCCAUGAUACAUUUAUACCAGCUAACAAUGACAGCCUUUGGCAAUCCCGUUGUGCCGCUAGUAUAUAUCAGGGUGGCUACGAACAGUUAGACAUACCUGGGCAAAGAGAAAAGCUAUUGGCGCAAAUCUAAUAUUUACUUACCCAUAUCACUUGACUCUGAUCCAGGCCGACUCGAAUUUGGUGCCCGUUCGGCCGGCGUCAACAGGAUCUCCCUCUCCAACGCCUUAUCAUAGAACACAACUUGGACAGAGCCACCCCCUUCUCGGAAGUCCGGCCUGCUAAACAUCUCCAACUGCUCAGGUGGGAAAAACUCCUCCUGCAACUCGCGCUCAGCAAAUAGGAUCUGGGCAGUCGACACCUUAACACAAUGCACCAGAGACGCCUUGGCCAAGUUAUAAUUGAUCAAAGCUGGCCUCGCGCCAAUACUCCACAACCCCAUCCACAUAAAGACGAAUGCAGAGGAGUUCAUCAAAUCCAUAAUUACCACGUCGCCCGUUUUGAUGCCAUGGGUAUUUCUCAACCAGGUGCCAUAGCGCAGAGAGGUGGUGUAUAAUUCGUGGAAGGUCCAGGUUUGCUGGUCGUACACAAGGGAAGGGCGGUUAGCAGUGCACUUGUCCAGUGCGUUUCUUUCCAUGAUGUAGAAUAGAUUGCACUGGUCCCUCCGCUCAGCUAUCAUACGGUCGAGGGUGCAACGAGCUGCCGAAUAGAACACAUUGAUGUCUUCCCAGAUGCCCCAUCGUGCGUUCGAAUAGGCAAUGGAGGCAGCUGCCGCCGGCACAGCGAGGGAUAAGGGAACCUCUGCUUGCGCAUCAUUAGUUGGUGGUUUCGGCUUGUUUAUUGAUUGACAUGAGAGCUAUGGAAGAGGGAACCAUGGAGAAGGGAUUCGUACCUGCGAGACCCAUUUGUGGCGUGGGAAAAAAUGGAGGAAAUGAAAUGGAUUCGGUUAUCCCCCGCAAACUUGAAGUCGAGGCCAAAAGUCAACAAGAUAAAAUGAGAAAGGAAAAAAGAAGAAGAAAAAGAAAAAGAAGGUAUUGGAAAAGGGAGGGGGGAAAUACUGAACGAAAGUGCUUUCUGCCUGAGUAUUUGUUCUGCGAGAGACUGAAGGCCACGGUUGUUCACACCCUUCAUCACGUCUCACAAGCGUCGUCCAGAUGGACCUGGCAAAUAACACUGCUAUUUCUGUGUUGACUCGAUAGGAGGGCCAACUUCACUACGGAGAAGUAGACGCACUAUUUCGAGGAUUGGACUGUCGAGCAAAUUCCGAUAUUGGAGCAUCUAACAAGCGAAGUCAUGGCGCAUAAGAAGAUCACAAAAAAUAAAACCGGACAAACCAAAAAAAAAAAAUUAAAUAAAUAAAAUAAAAAAAAAAAUAAAAGGGGGGGUUAGCUCGGCGUGGAAUGGAGGCCACAUCAGUUAUUUCAAUUGUUUGGCGGAAUCCCGUCCAUGGUUCGUUCCUGCGAUCGGUUGGGAUACCGAGCUGUGAGAUAGCUCGGCUCAGGGCCGGCAGAGCCAAAACCAUCGCCAUGCUGCGGAGGAGAGUCCGUACACCGGUGAAUGGCAAUUGUCAACAUGAUGGCUGGGUCCGAGGGACCCCGCUGAGGAUCGUCCUCCACAGCGCGAGUUUCUCCGCCCCGUGCCAGCAAUUGUCUUCACGGUGGCUCAAGAAGAGCCUCGAGGCAUCUGCUGCUCGUCACGUGGCCCGCCUGGCAAACUCAACCGCCCGUCGGCUAACUCUAUAGACUCUUAUCAAAUAAUCUGCGCCGUGGCACAUGCUGCGUCUACGACGACCGACUUCACAAGGCACCCAAAUGCGCCGAUUUGAUUCGCUGCGACCCCCUCGGGAUUCCUCAUCAUUGUUCGCCGUGGCCAAGCUGAUAGAAUGCCGAGUUCAGGUUCCCCGCAAUCCGCACCGAGGCGCGAGCAAGGAUAUGGGUCGCCGGCGCCCUGUUUCGGUUUCCGAGGAUUAGUUUGUCGUUGAGCACAAAAUUAGAGUUUUUUGAGAAUGAUUAUUCAGUCAUGUACAGUGGUUUGAGCCCACUCGUACCAGACACAGACAACAUGAUUCCAUUUUAUAUGCUGACAGAUACACUUUUCAAACCCGUGCUUCAAAAACUCAACCCUUCAAGCGCCCGUUCCAACACCCCUGUAUCCAGAACAAACCCAAUCCUCACAUACUCCUUGAAUUCCGGGCCCCGCCCGUAUCUCCAAACCAUGCACUCCCCGACAUAACCAACGCCCCGUCCUACUCCAACAACUUCUCACGAAACACCACAUCAUCCACCAGCCUCCCCAUCUUCAAAAACCUCACACACGCCACAGACCCAGUCACGGGUUUCGCCGACUCACAAGCCCACCGAUUCUGCGCAAUAAACCCUUCCGGCAGCGCCAGGUUAUGCCGCGCGAGCGCAUUAUUGCGCUUGAGCAGGUUGUGCAAGCGCCCCUCAUGCAGCGCGUAGAGGGCGAUCUGCCGGUCGAUCUGGCUUGCUGAGACGAUUGUGUAGGCGCGCCAGGCCUCAGGCCUCGCAUGCCCGAACUAAGUCGACGUUGGGUCACGCAAGUCAGCCGACCCGAAUGCCGGCGAGGGAGUAGGCUUUGGACAUCGAGCCGGAGACGAUCACGUUCUCGUAACCCAGGGUCAUCACGGAUUGGGGGAAUCUCCGGGUCGGCAGGGGUGAUGGAGUGGAAGAGCGGCCUGUAGAUUUCGUCGAUGAUGAUGGGUUUGGAGUGUUCGCACGCGAUUUGGACGAUGGAUUCGAGCGUUGAAGGGGGAUGAUCGAGGAGAACACGAAAUUUAUCGUGAUCAAGUAUAUGAAAACGAUUUCCAUUCUAUGUCAUUCUAUUCUAUUCAGGACUAAUCAAUGCCAUCUCAAAAAAAAAAAAAAGAAAAAAGAAAAAAGAAAAGAAAAGAAAAGAUGAGAAAAAGAAAAGAAAAGAUGAGAAAAAGAAAAGAAAAAAAAGUCAACCCUCAAAACCCCACUGGCGCCAUCAUCCCACGCUCAGCUCCUCAAUGUCCGGCCGCCACUUAUCCUCCCCCUUCGUCUUCCACAGACUUACAUCCGCCCCCAACGCUGCUGCGUAUACAGCUGCUGAUACGUAGGAUAUUGGCAUAUGACAUGAUCGCCACGAUCGUACAGGCCGUAGAAUAUUAGGAAAUUCGCUAGCGAUGCGCCGGGUGUUAUCAGCACAUUUUCUGACAAGAGCGGGGUUGGUAUUUUGACGGACUACAGGUUAGCUAUGCGGGUGCAUAGCUGCUCUGAUCCGUAUUGUGGACCGUAAUCCAUAGCUCUGGAUAGGAGCUUCGUGGAUAACGAUACCAUUUUCAUCGUUGUUCGAGGAAGAGGAUGAUGGGUUGUCAGAGAACAAAUGGAGGUCUUGGGGGGGGGAGCUGGAGGUGGAGACAUUACGCUUCGCUUUGGGGCUGUUGGCAUUUGGGGUGCUGGAUUGAGGUAUGUAUGUAUGUAUAAAUUUAACGACCCGGAGGGAGCGGGAAGCGCCCGCGCCCCGAAGGCCUCUCGAAGGGCAUGAGGGCGUGCUAAGCUGGAGAAAUCUCUAUAUACACAGCAAGAAGAAACAGGAUCCAGGUGGCAACUCUUGAAAAGACUCAGUUUACAAAACUGCGCAUUCACUUCUGGCCCGACGUAUGGCCAUUCAUGGUGGAGCUAUAGUGUGGCCUCUAAGAGGCCACCGCUGCCGUGCCUGGAAGGCCUUACAGAGGAUAGAGUACUGGAUUGGGGUUGGAUGUUAGCUGGCUUGUUUUCAUGGAAGGGCGGGAUAUAGAUGCCCAUGUUGUUCGACUUACAACAAGGAAUCUCUGCGGCGCCUACAUCAUCCAUAACUCCCUUAAUCUCAUCAACGCCGUUGCAUUUAGGCUGCUGGUCAGUGGGAUAACUCCAUACCGAUUCGUCGCUGGAGGGGGGAACAAUAGCAAGAGGAUCAUCAAACUGUAUUGAUUAUUGAGAGGCGAAGGAUUCAGAGAACGGCUAUGUGUAGACGAUAAGCUUGAAUUCAGCGAC
rnacentral:sRNA from 1 species